CAGCAGCCGCGGUAAUACCGGCGGCCCGAGUGGCGGUCACUAUUAUUGGGCUUAAAGCGUCCGUAGCCGGGUUGGGAAGUCCUCCGGGAAAUCUGGCCGCUUAACGGUCCGAAUGCCGGAGGAUACUCCCAGCCUAGGGAGCGGGAGAGGCCGAGGGGAUUCCCGGGGUAGGGGUGAAAUCCUAUAAUCCCGGGAGGACCACCGGUUGCGAAGGCGCUCGGCUGGAACGCGUCCGACGGUGAGGGACGAAGGCCAGGGGAGCAAACCGGAUUAGAUACCCGGGUAGUCCUGGCUGUAAACGAUGCGGACUUUGUGUCGGACAAGCUAUGAGCUUGUCCGGUGCCGGAGGGAAACCGUUAAGUCCGCCGCCUGGGGAGUACGGCCGCAAGGCUGAAACUUAAAGGAAUUGGCGGG
rnacentral:rRNA from 1 species